GAAUCCCGUCUUUGACACGGACUACCAGUACAUUGUGGUGCGCUCUCGAAGAGUCGAGUUGUUUGGGAAUGCAGCUCAAAAUGGGUGGUAAAUUCCAUCUAAAGCUAAAUAUUGGGGAGAGACCGAUAGCGAACAAGUACCGUGAGGGAAAGAUGAAAAGCACUUUGGAAAGAGAGUGAAACAGUACGUGAAAUUGUUGAAAGGGAAACGCUUGAAGUCAGUCGCGUCGGCCGAGACUCAGCCUUGCCUCGGCUUGGUGUACUUCUUGACCGACGGGUCAGCAUCAAUUUUGCCCCUUGGAUAAUGGCGAGGGAAAUGUGACACCUUUAUAGGUGUGUUAUAGUCUCUCGUCGCAUGCAAGGGUCGGGAUUGAGGAACUCAGCACGCGCCUUCGGGCGUCGGGGCCUUGCCCACGAUACGUGCUUAGGAUGUUGGCGUAAUGGCUUUAAACGACCCGUCUUGAAACACGGACCAAGGAGUCUAACAUGCCCGCGAGUGUUCGGGUGGAAAACCCGUGCGCGCAAUGAAAGUGAAAGUUGGGACCUCUGUCGCGGAGGGCACCGACGCCCGGACCAGAGCUUCUGCGACGGAUCUGCGGUGGAGCGUGUAUGUUAGGACCCGAAAGAUGGUGAACUAUGCCUGAAUAGGGUGAAGCCAGAGGAAACUCUGGUGGAGGCUCGUAGCGAUUCUGACGUGCAAAUCGAUCGUCAAAUUUGGGUAUAGGGGCGAAAGACUAAUCGAACCAUCUAGUAGCUGGUUCCUGCC
rnacentral:rRNA from 1 species